GGGCCGUAGUUUAGUGGUAGAGCAUCUGCCUUGGAUGCAGAAGGUCCCAGGUUCAAUCCCCGGUGGCAUCU